rnacentral:rRNA from 1 species
UACGAAGGGGGCUAGCGUUGCUCGGAAUCACUGGGCGUAAAGGGUGCGUAGGCGGGUCUUUAAGUCAGGGGUGAAAUCCUGGAGCUCAACUCCAGAACUGCCUUUGAUACUGAAGAUCUUGAGUUCGGGAGAGGUGAGUGGAACUGCGAAUGUAGAGGUGAAAUUCGUAGAUAUUCGCAAGAACACCAGUGGCGAAGGCGGCUCACUGGCCCGAUACUGACGCUGAGGCACGAAAGCGUGGGGAGCAAACAGG